UACAGAGGGUGCGAGCGUUGUUCGGAAUUAUUGGGCGUAAAGGGCGCGUAGGCGGUGCGGUAAGUCACCUGUGAAAUCUCCUGGCUCAACUGGGAGCUUGCAGGCGAAACUGCCGUGCUGGAGUGUGGGAGAGGUGCGUGGAAUUCCUGGUGUAGCGGUGAAAUGCGUAGAUAUUGGGAGGAACACCAGUGGCGAAGGCGGCUACCUGGACCGGUUCUGACGCUGAUGCGCGAAAGCGUGGGUAGCAAACAGG
rnacentral:rRNA from 1 species